CCAUAGCUCAGUGGUGGAGCAUCUGCUUUGCAUGCAGAAGGUCCCAGGUUGUGUCUCUGGUUAAAGGU